rnacentral:rRNA from 1 species
AAUUUAAGCAUAUAAUUCAGCGGAGGAAAAGAAAGCAAAAGCGAUUCCCUUAGUAAUGGCGAGUGAACAGGGAAGAGCCCAGCGUGAAGGCUUUUACGCGAAAGCGUAAGAGCGGUGCCACGUUAAUGUAGCGGUGUUGUAAUAGACGGAAUCCCCACAAGUCCCUCUGACAAGGGGCUGAAAAUCGAAGGUGGUGCUAAUCCAAUAGUGGGGAGGAAGUUUGUUGCUAUCCGUUGCAUACUAGAGUCGGGUUGUUUGAGAGUGCAACCUAAAGGGGGUGGUAAACUCCACCUAAGGCUAAAUAUCACUGUGAGACCGAUAGCGAACAAGUACCGUGAGGGAAAGUUGCAAAGAACUUUGAAGAGAGAGUUCAAAAGGACGUGAAACCGCUUGUAGGUAAACGGGUGGACCCAAGAAGUUAGCUGGGGGAAGGAUUCAGCAGUUCUUUUCAUGGCUGCUCGCUGUUGUCGUUCAUCAUUGAUGAUGGCUCAGUGGGUAAAGUCGUGAUUAAGCUGUGCACUUCCAUUCCCCUAAUGCUUAAGCUCUGAGCAGUUACGGGGCCUUUUCAGCUUAAGGACGCACGAGAGAAGGUGGCUCGUUCGGUGCUUGCAUCGUUCGGGCUUUAUAGCUCAAGUGUAUCUGCUGACAGGCGAGGUGACUGAGAGAAUUGCUCCACAAGUUGGGGUUGAACGGGUGCGUAAGAGUUAGCGCUCCUGACUGGGCUUUCGGAGGGAGCAUUUGUGUGCUUAGCAUCCAAAUUUCUUUCGUCUGU